rnacentral:lncRNA from 10 species
AGGUGGCAUUGCAGCACGGGGUAUCGAGAGUAACUGGUAGGCAGAAUGGGGGCAUCCUGGGCCCUUUGGGGAUGAGAAUUUAUUCUGGACCUCACAAGAAAGUGGGAUAUGGAGGAGAUAUAGUCUGAUGGAGGAGGCCUAGCUCCAUUUUGGGUGGGCUGUGGGGGUAGGGGGUGGCUGAUUUAGCCACUCAUUCAUUCAUUCCUCACCAAAUAUUUUGAACACCUGUCAUAUGCCACACGCUGUGUUGAGAGUACAGGGAUGAGCAAGACAAUGGUUUGGCCCUUCACAGAGUUGGCAUUGAGGUGAGAGAGGCAUUCUCACCAACAUUCCUUCCAGAAAAAUCCCUAGAGACCCGACAAUAAAAGAAUCACACACAAAAUGGCACAGAUCACCUCUUGACGUGGGGAGGUCAGGCUUUAGAGAUGUUUAUUUAAUUCUCAGCAGAUUUGAAGGAACAUAUCAGGGAAUCCAAAGCACCAGUGCAGAAUCCCACAGCUCAGGGAACCUGGGCCAAGGGGGCUUUUUGAUAGACGGAAGCAGUAGGAAGAGGCAGCUGGGAAUGAGGAUGGGGGAAGACUACAGCAGUGUGUGACUGUGGUCUACAACAGGCACGAACCUCAAAAAUAGCGUUCAACGUGAAAGGAACCAGACACAAAAGAUCACAUAUUACGCCUGUAAUAUCAGCACUCUGGGACACUGAGGCGUGUGGAUCACCUGAGGCCAGGAGCUCACAACCAGCCUGGCCAACAUGUCCCUACUAAAAAUACAAGAAAAUUAGCCAGGCGUGGUACCACAUGCCUGUAAUCCCAGCUACUUGGAAGCUGAGGCAGGAGAAUCUCUUGAACUUGGAAGGCGGAGGUUGCAGUGAACCAAAAUCACGCCACAGCACUCCAGCCUGGGAGACAGAGCAAGGCUUAGUUUUAAAAAAAAAAUCAAAUAUUGUGUGAUUCUGUUUAUAGGAAAUAUUCAGAAUUGGUAAGUCCAUAAGGACAAAAACCAGAUUGACAGGGGCUGAGAUGAAAAAGAGAAUGGGGUAUGGGGAGUGACAGCUUGAUAGGUAUGGGUUUUGUUGGGGGGAGAUAAUGAAAACAUUUGGAACUAGGAGAAUCACCUGACAUCAGGAGUUCAAGACCACUGAACUCGAACCUGGGUGACAGAGUGAGACUCCGUCUCAGAAAAAAAGAAAAUGUUUGGAACUAGAUGGUGGUGGUUGUACAGCUUUGUGAAUGAACCACACACCACUAAAUUGUACACUUUAAAAUGGCUAAUUUUAUUUUAUGUGAAUUUCAUCUUAAUUUUUAAAAUUAUAUAUAUACAUGGCCGGGCAUGGUGACUCACACCUGUAAUCCCAGCACUUUGGGAGGCUAAGGUGGGUGAAUCACUUGAGUUCAGGAGUUUGAGAUCAGCCUGGCCAACACGGUGAAACCCCAUCUCUACUAAAAAUACAAAAAUUAGCCAGGCAUGGUAGCACACACCUGUAAUCCCAGCUACUAGGGAGGCUGAGGCAGGAGAAUUUCUUGAACCCCGGGGGUGGAGGUUGCAGUGAGCCGAGAUCACGCCACUGCACUCCAGCCUGGGCAACUGAGUGAGACUCUGUCUCAAAAUAUAUAUAUAUAAUUUUGUAUAUUAUAAUUUUCAAUAAUCUCACUCCUCCACUCAUUUGCACUGCGACCUCAGACAACUGGUGCCAUGGAAGGGAAGGAAGCUGGCUUGCAGCAGGUCUCUCAGAGGCAGGAAGUUGCAGGGAGUCAGAGCCAUUAUCUACAGAGGUGGGGACACUGAAUGACCCUGGAAUCCUUUGACCCCCUUCCCUCAG